AGAGUUUGAUCAUGGCUCAGAAUGAACGCUGGCGGCACGCUUAACACAUGCAAGUCGAACGAGAUCUUCGGAUCUAGUGGCAGACGGGUGAGUAACGCGUGGGAACCUGCCCUUUAGUAGAGAACAACUCGAGGAAACUUGAGCUAAUACUUUAUACGCCCUUUGGGGGAAAGCUUUAUGCGCUAUUGGAUGGGCCCGCGUUAGAUUAGUUUGUUGGUGAGGUAAUGGCUCACCAAGACGUCGAUCUAUAGCUGGUCUGAGAGGAUGAUCAGCCACACUGGGACUGAGACACGGCCCAGACUCCUACGGGAGGCAGCAGUGGGGAAUAUUGGACAAUGGGGGCAACCCUGAUCCAGCGAUGCCGCGUGAGUGAUGAAGGCCUUAGGGUUGUAAAGCUCUUUCGUCAGGGAAGAUAAUGACGGUACCUGAAGAAGAAGAUCCGGCUAACUCCGUGCCAGCAGCCGCGGUAAUACGGAGGGAUCUAGCGUUAUUCGGAAUUACUGGGCGUAAAGCGAGCGUAGGCGGAUUUGUAAGUUGGAGGUGAAAUCCCAGAGCUUAACUCUGGAACUGCCUUCAAAACUACAUUUCUUGAGUUUGGUAGAGGAGAGUGGAAUUCCUAGUGUAGAGGUGAAAUUCGUAGAUAUUAGGAGGAACACCAGUGGCGAAGGCGACUCUCUGGGCCAAUACUGACGCUGAGGUUCGAAAGCAUGGGUAGCGAACAGGAUUAGAUACCCUGGUAGUCCAUGCAGUAAACGAUGAGUGCUAGAUGUUGGAAACAUUAGUUUUCAGUAUCGCAGUUAACGCGUUAAGCACUCCGCCUGGGAAGUACGGCCGCAAGGCUAAAAC
rnacentral:rRNA from 1 species